AGAGUUUGAUCAUGGCUCAGGAUGAACGCUGGCGGCGUGCCUAAGACAUGCAAGUCGAGUGGGUUUAGACCCACGGCGAACGGGUGAGUAAUACCUAGGAACGUAUCUUGAGUCGAGCAUAUCCCACCGAAAGGUGGAGCAAUUCUCGAUGUGGCCGCAAGGCUAAAGUCGCAAGACGCUCAAGAAGCGGCCUGGACACCAUCAGCUAGUUGGUAGGGUAAUGGCCUACCAAGGCUUUGACGGUUAGGGGCCCCGAGAGGGGAGACCCCCACACUGGAACUGCGACACGGUCCAGACUCCUACGGGAGGCAGCAGUUUGGAAUUUUGGACAAUGGGCGAAAGCCUGAUCCAGCGACGCCGCGUGGACGAUGAAGGCCUUCGGGUUGUAAAGUCCUUUUAGCAGGGAAGAAUUUUUGACGGUACCUGCAGAAUAAGAGGUUGCUAACUCUGUGCCAGCAGCAGCGGUAAUACAGAGACCUCAAGCGUUAUCCGGAAUCAUUGGGCGUAAAGCGUACCGAUCGGUGGUUUUACAAGUCAGAGGUGAAAUUCCAAGGCUCAACCUUGGGACUGUCCUUUGAAACUGUAAAACUAGAGGGGCAAAGAGGAAGCUAGAACUAACGGUGUAGGGGUAAUAUCCGUUGAUAUCGUUAGGAAUACCAAUAGCGAAGGCGGCUUCUGGGUGCCACCUGACACUGCUAGGACGAAAGCGUGGGGAGCAAAAAGGAUUAGAUACCCUAGUAGUCC
rnacentral:rRNA from 1 species